rnacentral:rRNA from 1 species
CACCAGACUCCUACGGGAGGCAGCAGUGGGGAAUAUUGCACAAUGGGGGAAACCCUGAUGCAGCGACGCCGCGUGAGCGAUGAAGUAUUUCGGUAUGUAAAGCUCUAUCAGCAGGGAAGAAAAUGACGGUACCUGACUAAGAAGCCCCGGCUAACUACGUGCCAGCAGCCGCGGUAAUACGUAGGGGGCAAGCGUUAUCCGGAUUUACUGGGUGUAAAGGGAGCGUAGACGGCUGUGCAAGCCAGAUGUGAAAGCCCGGGGCUCAACCCCGGGGCUGCAUUGGAAACUGGCAGGCUGGAGUGCCGGAGAGGCAGGCGGAAUUCCUAGUGUAGCGGUGAAAUGCGUAGAUAUUAGGAGGAACACCAGUGGCGAAGGCGGCCUGCUGGACGGUGACUGACGCUGAGGCUCGAAAGCGUGGGGAGCAAACAGGAUUAGAUACCCCCGUAC